ensembl:snRNA U6 U6 spliceosomal RNA
AUUGUUCUCACCCCGGCCGUACACACUAAAAUUGGAUCGAAACAGAGAUGGUUUGAAUGUCCACUUGCACAAAGACUACAUGCACAAUCGUGAAGGAUGCCAUAUUUUU